rnacentral:rRNA from 1 species
AAUAGAUACCCAGGUAGUCCAUGCCGUAAACGAUGUCUACUAGCCGUUGGGGCCUUUGAGGCUUUAGUGGCGCAGCUAACGCGAUAAGUAGACCGCCUGGGGAGUACGGUCGCAAGACUAAAACUCAAAUGAAUUGACGGGGGCCCGCACAAGCGGUGGAGCAUGUGGUUUAAUUCGAUGCAACGCGAAGAACCUUACCUGGCCUUGACAUACUAGAAACUUUCCAGAGAUGGAUUGGUGCCUUCGGGAAUCUAGAUACAGGUGCUGCAUGGCUGUCGUCAGCUCGUGUCGUGAGAUGUUGGGUUAAGUCCCGCAACGAGCGCAACCCUUUUCCUUACUUGCCAGCAUUUCGGAUGGGAACUUUAAGGAUACUGCCAGUGACAAACUGGAGGAAGGCGGGGACGACGUCAAGUCAUCAUGGCCCUUACGGCCAGGGCUACACACGUGCUACAAUGGUCGGUACAAAGGGUUGCUACACAGCGAUGUGAUGCUAAUCUCAAAAAGCCGAUCGUAGUCCGGA